GGCCGCCUGGCGAAAUGGCAUCGCGUCUGACCUACGAUUCGUUGUCAUCAGGAGAUUGCAGGUUCGACCCCUGCGGUGGUCA